rnacentral:rRNA from 1 species
UGAGGAACAUGACUUUCGGCGGGGGAUAGCCGGCCCAACGGCCGGGUAAUACCGCGUACGACCUUUUGGGGACAUCCCCGAUUGGUGAAAGCAGCAAUGCGCCGAAAGAGUGCCUCGCGGCCUAUCAGCUAGUUGGUGGGGUAAUAGCUCACCAAGGCGAUGACGGGUAGCCGGCCUGAGAGGGUGACCGGCCACACUGGGACUGAGACACGGCCCAGACUCCUACGGGAGGCAG